UCGUUCUUCUUCCUUACAUUGAAUCGUAUGCUUCUUAAACUGACUUUUUAAUUAAUUAAAUUGACCUAUUAGUUGUUCUACGAUAACAAUAACAUUAUUUUUAUUGUUGUAGGAACCAUUGGACACUCAUUGCAAUAUGUGUGUCAAGUAACGAAGUCUACCACUUUGAUUCUUUGCGUAAAGGAACAAUACGGUCCUUACUAGUCAAAUCAUUGUUAAAUAGUGUGAUGAAGAAGAUUACUUCAUCUGGACUUCGACAAGGAAAAGCUCCUGUUUGGUAUUUAGUCGAGUGUCCGGUACAAGAAGGUGGACUUGCGUGUGGGUAUUACGUCAUGAGGUUCAUG